GUAAUGGUUUCUUUAGAAACCACCUUCUAUCUUCAAAAAAUAUUUC
rfam:Picea glauca, whole genome shotgun sequence.